CAGGACCUACGGAGGCAGCAGUGGGGGAUAUUGCACAAUGGGGGGAACCCUGAUGCAGCGACGCCGCGUGGGUGAAGAAGCGUUUCGGCGCGUAAAGCCCUGUCAGCAGGGAAGAAGAAGGACGGUACCUGACCAAGAAGCCCCGGCUAACUACGGGCCAGCAGCCGCGGUAAUACGUAGGGGGCAAGCGUUAUCCGGAUUUACUGGGUGUAAAGGGGGCGCAGACGGCGAUGCAAGCCAGGAGUGAAAGCCCGGGGCCCAACCCCGGGACUGCUCUUGGAACUGCGUGGCUGGAGUGCAGGAGG
rnacentral:rRNA from 1 species